rnacentral:rRNA from 1 species
AGCGAACGCUGGCGGCAGGCCUAACACAUGCAAGUCGAACGAAGCCUUCGGGCUUAGUGGCGGACGGGUGAGUAACACGUGGGAACGUACCUUUUGGUUCGGAAUAACGCAGAGAAAUUUGCGCUAAUACCGGAUGAGCCCUUCGGGGGAAGGAGUUAUCGGCCGAAGGAUCGGCCCGCGUUGGAUUAGGUAGUUGGUGUGGUAAAGGCGCACCAAGCCUACGAUCCAUAGCUGGUCUGAGAGGAUGAUCAGCCACACUGGGACUGAGACACGGCCCAGACUCCUACGGGAGGCAGCAGUGGGGAAUCUUGCGCAAUGGGCGAAAGCCUGACGCAGCCAUGCCGCGUGAAUGAUGAAGGUCUUAGGAUUGUAAAAUUCUUUUACCAGGGACGAUAAUGACGGUACCUGGAGAAAAAGCCCCGGCUAACUUCGUGCCAGCCGCCGCAGUAAAAC